UACGUAGGGGGCAAGCGUUAUCCGGAUUUACUGGGUGUAAAGGGAGCGUAGGCCGGCUUUUAAGUCAGCUGUGAAAGUCCGCGGCUCAACCGUGGAAUUGCAGUUGAAACUGGAGGCCUUGAGUGCACACAGGGGUGCCGGAAUUCAUGGUGUAGCGGUGAAAUGCAUAGAUAUCACGCAGAACCCCGAUUGCGAAGGCAGCAUACCGGUGCACAACUGACGCUCAGGCACGAAAGCGUGGGUAUCGAACAGG
rnacentral:rRNA from 1 species